rnacentral:rRNA from 1 species
CCGCGGCGAUCCUGCAGUCGAGCGGAAGAAGGGAGCUUGCUCCCGGAUGUUAGCGGCGGACGGGUGAGUAACACGUGGGUAACCUGCCUGUAAGACUGGGAUAACUCCGGGAAACCGGAGCUAAUACCGGAUAGUUCCUUGAACCGCAUGGUUCAAGGAUGAAAGACGGUUUCGGCUGUCACUUACAGAUGGACCCGCGGCGCAUUAGCUAGUUGGUGAGGUAACGGCUCACCAAGGCGACGAUGCGUAGCCGACCUGAGAGGGUGAUCGGCCACACUGGGACUGAGACACGGCCCAGACUCCUACGGGAGGCAGCAGUAGGGAAUCUUCCGCAAUGGACGAAAGUCUGACGGAGCAACGCCGCGUGAGUGAUGAAGGUUUUCGGAUCGUAAAGCUCUGUUGUUAGGGAAGAACAAGUGCAAGAGUAACUGCUUGCACCUUGACGGUACCUAACCAGAAAGCCACGGCUAACUACGUGCCAGCAGCCGCGGUAAUACGUAGGUGGCAAGCGUUGUCCGGAAUUAUUGGGCGUAAAGGGCUCGCAGGCGGUUUCUUAAGUCUGAUGUGAAAGCCCCCGGCUCAACCGGGGAGGGUCAUUGGAAACUGGGAAACUUGAGUGCAGAAGAGGAGAGUGGAAUUCCACGUGUAGCGGUGAAAUGCGUAGAGAUGUGGAGGAACACCAGUGGCGAAGGCGACUCUCUGGUCUGUAACUGACGCUGAGGAGCGAAAGCGUGGGGAGCGAACAGGAUUAGAUACCCUGGUAGUCCACGCCGUAAACGAUGAGUGCUAAGUGUUAGGGGGUUUCCGCCCCUUAGUGCUGCAGCUAACGCAUUAAGCACUCCGCCUGGGGAGUACGGUCGCAAGACUGAAACUCAAAGGAAUUGACGGGGGCCCGCACAAGCGGUGGAGCAU